ACUAGGAUCUGCUAACAUAAGCAAUUGGGCCCAUGCCCCAAAAAUGAUAACACAAUAUCUCCUAGUA
rnacentral:tRNA from 2 species